ACCUGGCUGGCUCAGUCAGUAGAGCAUGUGACUCUUGAUCUCAGAGUUUUGAGUUUGAGCCCCCUGUUAGGUA
rnacentral:tRNA from 1 species